UAGGGAAUCUUCGGCAAUGGACGAAAGUCUGACCGAGCAACGCCGCGUGAGUGAAGAAGGUUUUCGGAUCGUAAAACUCUGUUGUUAGAGAAGAACAAGGACGUUAGUAACUGAACGUCCCCUGACGGUAUCUAACCAGAAAGCCACGGCUAACUACGUGCCAGCAGCCGCGGUAAUACGUAGGUGGCAAGCGUUGUCCGGAUUUAUUGGGCGUAAAGCGAGCGCAGGCGGUUUCUUAAGUCUGAUGUGAAAGCCCCCGGCUCAACCGGGGAGGGUCAUUGGAAACUGGGAGACUUGAGUGCAGAAGAGGGGAGUGGAAUUCCAUGUGUAGCGGUGAAAUGCGUAGAUAUAUGGAGGAACACCAGUGGCGAAGGCGGCUCUCUGGUCUGUAACUGACGCUGAGGCUCGAAAGGGUGGGGAGCAAACAGG
rnacentral:rRNA from 1 species